rnacentral:rRNA from 1 species
UACGUAGGGUGCAAGCGUUAAUCGGAAUUAUUGGGCGUAAAGGGUGCGUAGGCGGUUUGAUAAGUCUGAUGUGAAAUCUAUGGGCUCAACCCAUAGCCUGCAUUAGAAACUGUCGGGCUUGAGUAUGGGAGAGGUGAGUGGAAUUUCCGGUGUAGCGGUGAAAUGCGUAGAUAUCGGAAGGAACACCUGUGGCGAAAGCGGCUCACUGGACCAUUACUGACACUGAUGCACGAAAGCUAGGGGAGCAAACAGG